rnacentral:rRNA from 1 species
GAUGAACGCUGGCGGCGUGCCUAAUACAUGCAAGUCGAGCGAACAGAUAAGGAGCUUGCUCCUUUGACGUUAGCGGCGGACGGGUGAGUAACACGUGGGUAACCUACCUAUAAGACUGGAAUAACUCCGGGAAACCGGGGCUAAUGCCGGAUAACAUUUAGAACCGCAUGGUUCUAAAGUGAAAGAUGGUUUUGCUAUCACUUAUAGAUGGACCCGCGCCGUAUUAGCUAGUUGGUAAGGUAACGGCUUACCAAGGCAACGAUACGUAGCCGACCUGAGAGGGUGAUCGGCCACACUGGAACUGAGACACGGUCCAGACUCCUACGGGAGGCAGCAGUAGGGAAUCUUCCGCAAUGGGCGAAAGCCUGACGGAGCAACGCCGCGUGAGUGAUGAAGGUCUUCGGAUCGUAAAACUCUGUAUUAGGGAAGAACAAAUGUGUAAGUAACUGUGCACGUCUUGACGGUACCUAAUCAGAAAGCCACGGCUAACUACGUG